UUUACCAGCAGCUUAGCGCGCUUCGCCUGGUUUGUCCUUGUGACUGCAUGGUCUUAAGUGGCUGUACACCUCACCGCCUCACAUAAACUCUGAGUAAAAAAAGCCACAGCAUGCCACGAACAGCCAGCGUAGCCGUUAAACAAACUGCAAAACGAGAGACACGAUAAGGUUGACGAAACGAUUCAACUUUAAAGCCCAUCUCCCACAGCUAAGAUGCCUCCGUUUCUGCCUCCAUCUCUCUCCAUCUGCAGCUGCCCGUCUCAGACCUGGUUCCACAUACAGCAUGACUGUCAGAUGCUACUUCCACAUCUGGACCAAUUCUGGCGCCCGUACA